GGGGGUGAUUUGGUCUCGACGGAAACAGAAUACAUAAUGACAGCAGGUCGGAGUUGGUCUAAGACUCCGCAAAAAUAGACUAAAUAAUAAACAACACCAAUAAUGUUGCUAACGCAUAUGAUUUAAAGACUAUAAAUGGGCUUACACCUAUGAAUGGCUUUAAGUUUAUGCCAAUAGCUGCCUAAGUCAGCUACGUUUUACCUUAGAUAUCUGCUAUAGGGAUAAAACGUCAAAAGCAGAUUAGUUUUAAAUGGCGCGUUUCGUCUGUUUGAAACGAAACUUGAACGAAACUGGUUUAUAGUGCAAUCCUGUUUGGAGAGAGCAUUAUGAACGAGAAUUUUUCCAAACUAAACCUGUAGCGGUCUUAUGAAAGCUUUUUCGGACGCGGGUUCAAUUCCCGCCACCUCCACCU
rnacentral:tmRNA from 1 species